UACAGAGGUCUCAAGCGUUGUUCGGAUUCAUUGGGCGUAAAGGGUGCGUAGGUGGCGGGGCAAGUCAGGUGUGAAAUCUCGGAGCUCAACUCCGAAACUGCACUUGAUACUGCCUUGCUGGAGUACUGGAGAGGAGAUUGGAAUUUACGGUGUAGCAGUGAAAUGCGCAGAUAUCGGGAGGAACACCAGUAGCGAAGGCGGCACUCUGGGCCGGUACUGACGCUGAGGAGCGAAAGCGUGGGGAGCAAACAGG
rnacentral:rRNA from 1 species